rnacentral:rRNA from 1 species
GAUUACUUAGUUUGCAUAUCAUAAGCGGAGGAAAAGAAACCAACAGGGAUUGCCUUAGUAACGGCGAGUGAACAGGCAAGAGCUCAGAUUUGAAAUGCCUUUCGGGGCAUUGUAUUCUGAAGCCUUGAUUCUGAGAACCGGUACCUAAGUCUUCUGGAAAGGAGCGCCAAGGAGGGUGAUAGCCCCGUACGGUACUGACCUCAUUGUARAAUCUUGGCGUGGAGUCGAGUUGUUUGGGAAUGCAGCUCAAAUGGGUGGUAUGCUCCAUCUAAAGSUAAAUAUSUGMGAGAGACCGAUAGCGAACAAGUACUGUGAAGGAAAGAUGAAAAGAACUUUGAAAAGAGAGUGAAAAAGUAYGUGAAAUUGUUGAAAUGGAAGGAUAGGCCGCUAACCACGUARAGCCGUGUMUGAGGGGAGGAUAAAAGCUGUAGAAUGUGGCUCUUCGGAUGUGUUAUAGYUGCAGUGCAUACUCCCACUCGGGCGCGAGGACCUAAGGCUCUGCUAAAUGGUGGUCUAUCACCCGUCUUGAAACACGGACCAAGGAUGCUGGCGU